rnacentral:lncRNA from 1 species
GAGUUAAAGGUACUUUGCUUAUACAUAUGUCUUUGUACUAUAGCAAACAUGUUUCCUUAAUAUGAACAUAAUUUCAUGGUCAGGUGAUCUCGAACACUCUGAAGCUGUGCUUUACAGGCAGAUAUCCUUCACUUCUCGAGGAUCAAACUUCGACUUCUUCCAUAAACAAGAGCUGAAUACAACAGCCAAUGACACCCUGGACUUCGCAACGAUGAGAGAAAAAGGCUGAUUAUUGUUGUUGUUGAAAAUUGCAGAACUUGCUGGUUCAAGAAUCAAGAGUAUCUAAGCUUUAUAAAUACAGCUAACAAGUAAGUUAUCGGGUUGUUCUUCGAGCAUCAUAGUUCAUAGAAGUAUAGUACCACUAAAUUGACAUAGGUUCACUGAUGUAUGGCUCUCUUCUUUAACAGGAAAAGUUUCAGUGUUUGGAUCCGUAAGCAGGAAAAGUUUGAGUCUUGGCCCGGGAGAUAUGUAAUAGUCUAUCAUGCCUUGAAUUGGCAGCUCUAUUAGCACCAUGCUCCGUGUCACGGCUCGGAAAGCACCAUGAUGCGUCAUUGCUGGACCAUGACUCCUUCGAUAACUACACCACUUGACACACGACGAGUGCUCCGUCAUAAUAGCCUAAAAAGUACCUCUACGCGUCAUGGAUUCUCAAUAUCCACCCAUCAAAUCUCCACUGGAAGCACCAAAAAGCCAACUUGGCCUGCCUGAGGUCGUUAUACUGAUCGGGGCAAGCCUCGUACGGGAAAAUUCAAGGCGGCACAAAAGCCAUAGAUUCACACAACAAGACAUUACAUAGAUGUUUUUCUUUUAAGAGUAACUAGAAUCGUCGAUUCGGACUAUAUGUUAUUCCACUUGGACAUCAACAACAAUAAAAAUUGUUAAUGAAUAAUUGGCAUUCCAACG